UGCCUUACACAUGCAAGUCGAGCGGCAGCGCGGGGGCAACCCUGGCGGCGAGCGGCGGACGGGUGAGGAAUGCAUCGGAAUCUACCUCGUUGUGGGGGAUAACCUCGGGAAACCGGGACUAAUACCGCAUACGACCUACGGGUGAAAGUGGGGGACCUUCGGGCCUCACGCGAUGAGAUGAGCCGAUGCCGGAUUAGCUAGUUGGCGGGGUAAAGGCCCACCAAGGCGACGAUCCGUAGCUGGUCUGAGAGGAUGAUCAGCCACACUGGAACUGAGACACGGUCCAGACUCCUACGGGAGGCAGCAGUGGGGAAUAUUGGACAAUGGGCGCAAGCCUGAUCCAGCCAUGCCGCGUGUGUGAAGAAGGCCUUCGGGUUGUAAAGCAC
rnacentral:rRNA from 1 species